UGGCUCAGUGGUUUAGAGCACUGACUGCAGAGGACCUGGGUUCAAUUCCCAG
rnacentral:tRNA from 1 species